AAGGUGGAUUUAUGAGUAAUUAUGUUUUAUAAUUAUAUAGUGAAAAGUGGAAUAACGCAUGUACAUAUUGCCCGUCGCUCUCAGGAAUAAUUGAGAUAAGUCGUAACAUAGUUGAUUUACUGGAAAGUGUGUCUUUUUU
rnacentral:rRNA from 1 species